rnacentral:rRNA from 1 species
GGUGAACGCUGCGGCAGGCCUAACACAUGCAAGUCGAGGGGUAGAGGGAGCUUGCUCCCUUGAGACCGGCGCACGGGUGCGUAACGCGUAUGCAAUCUACCUUAUACAGGGGAAUAGCCCAGGGAAACUUGGAUUAAUGCCCCAUAGCCUACAGAGACGGCAUUGUCUCUAUAGUAAAGAUUUAUCGGUAUAAGAUGAGCAUGCGUACCAUUAGCUAGUUGGUGUGGUAACGGCACACCAAGGCUACGAUGGUUAGGGGCCCUGAGAGGGGGAUCCCCCACACUGGUACUGAGACACGGACCAGACUCCUACGGGAGGCAGCAGUGAGGAAUAUUGGACAAUGGGCGGGAGCCUGAUCCAGCCAUGCCGCGUGCAGGAAGACAGCCCUAUGGGUCGUAAACUGCUUUUAUAGGGGAAGAAACACUCUCACGUGUGAGAGCUUGACGGUCCCUACGAAUAAGGACCGGCUACUCCGUGCCAGCAGCCGCGGUAAUACCGAGGGUCCAGCGUUAUCCGGAAUAUUGGGUUUAAAGGGUCCGAGGCGGCCUUUAGUCAGUGGUGAAGUUUUCACUCAACUGUAGAACUGCAUUGUACUGGAGGUUUGAAUAAUGUGAAGUGGCUAAAAUGUAUGUAGCGGGAAUCUUAAUUA